GCUCCAGUAGCUCAGGGGUAGAGCACACCCUUGGUAAGGGUGAGGUCGGCGGUUCAAUUCCGCCCUGGAGCU
rnacentral:tRNA from 1 species